CAAUCUUGUGANUCCNGUGGCGUACGGGUGAGUAACACGUGGAUCAUCUACCUUUUAGUGGGGAAUACCCCUGGGAAACCGGGGACAAUACCGCAUAAGCUCGUGAGAGGAAAGCAGCAAUGCGCUGAAAGAGGAGUCCGCGGCUGAUUAGCUAGUUGGCGGGGUAACGGCCCACCAAGGCGAAGAUCGGUAGCCGGCCUGAGAGGGCACACGGCCACACUGGCACUGAAACACGGGCCAGACUCCUACGGGAGGCAGCAGUGGGGAAUCUUGCACAAUGGAGGAAACUCUGAUGCAGCGACGCCGCGUGAGCGAUGAAGCCCUUCGGGGUGUAAAGCUCUUUCGACGGGAACGAUAAUGACGGUACCCGAAGAAGAAGCUGCGGCUAACUACGUGCCAGCAGCCGCGGUAAUACGUAGGCAGCGA
rnacentral:rRNA from 1 species